GUGGGGAAUAUUGGGCAAUGGGCGCAAGCCUGACCCAGCGACGCCGCGUGGGCGAUGAAGGCCUUCGGGUUGUAAAGCCCUGUCAUGCGGAAAGAACGACCCUGUGACGCAUACUCACAGGGAGUGACGGUACCGCAGGAGGAAGCACCGGCUAACUCCGUGCCAGCAGCCGCGGUAAUACGGAGGGUGCAAGCGUUGUUCGGAAUUAUUGGGCGUAAAGGGCGCGUAGGCGGUAAUGUAAGUCAGAUGUGAAAUACUCCGGCUCAACCAGAGAACAGCAUCUGAAACUGCAUAACUAGAGUACAGAAGAGGGAAACGGAAUUCCCGGUGUAGAGGUGAAAUUCGUAGAUAUCGGGAGGAACACCAGUGGCGAAGGCGGUUUCCUGGUCUGAUACUGACGCUGAGGCGCGAAAGCGUGGGGAGCAAACAGGAUUAGAUACCCUAGUAGUCC
rnacentral:rRNA from 1 species